rnacentral:lncRNA from 1 species
AUGUACCAAAAUGAAAUACCAUAUUACAAUAAUAAGUAUAGAAGUAACUAUGUGGAUGAACAGUAUUCCCAACCGAAGUUAAUUGAUUUUGGUAAUAUUAGUACACAAGGUGUUAAUAGUUAUGAACAAUUUGAUUCCAUAGGUAAUAACAUGAACGACAGUAUAAAUACGAGUUCGAACAUGUACGACACUGUAGAUAAUCAAUCUUAUACCACAUUAAAUGGAACCGAUAGUAAUAGUAAUAUCUGUCACAAUAUUAGUAAUAGUAUCAGUAAUAGUAUCAGUAAUAAUAUCAGUAAUAAUAUCAGUGGUAAUAUAAGUUGUAAUAUUAGUGGUAGUGGUAAUGGAAAUGCCAAUGGCAAUGCCAAUAUAACACCGAUACAUGUACAACCACUAACUAGUAGCUGUACAGUUAAUAACGCAAAUAAAAAUAACUGUAUGUUCAAACAAAUAUAUUAUUCUAAGGAUAAUAUACAAGACAACAAAAAAAAGUUUUUCUCUAAUAAUAUAUCAUUCAAAAAAAACAAAAUCCAAAAAGACACUGCAACUUAUAAUUAUGAUAACUGUUUUUAUAAGGAAGAUAAAAAUACAUAUACAUAUGCAGAUAAUAGCAGUUCUAAUAAUUUGAUUACAGAAAAAAACAGUUUGAACAGUAACAUUUUUAACAGAAAUAAUAUUAUAAGUGAUAAUUCGUUUACAAAUAAAAGUAUGACAAUUAAAAAUAAUAAUUAUAUACACAAUUGUAGCAAUAACUAUAAUGAUGUUAACUCUUUAGUAAAAAAUGAGAUAAAACAGAAUAAUAACAAAUACGGUUUUAUUGAUAAUUCUUCAUCACAAGAAUAUGAACAAAACGAAAAUAAAUUAAACGGUAAUAAAAAUAAUAACUUAUUCAAUAUACACAACGGUAGUAACAUAAGUGACCAUAGUAAUAGUAAAAAUAAUAUUUAUAAUCGUUUUACAUUAUCUAACAAACAUAAUAAAAACAUAGAUAAUAACAGUAGUUCAUUUAAAAAUACAUAUGUUAUGUCUUAUAACCAAAAUAAAGUCAAACCAAACAUUGCUUUAAAUAAUAAAAAAGUAUAUACUUCUUAUACCAAUGACAACACUACCUAUUACACAAAUGAAAACAAAUACAUUGAAGAAAACCUUAACACCAAUCCGAUAAACAAUAAAUAUGUUACGAUCGAUAAUAAUAGUAACAUAAAUAAAAACUUUCAAAUUAAAAAUAUUUAUUCUGACAAUCUGGGUAAUAAAUAUAAUGCGAAUGAUAUAAAAAAAUUCUUAAAAACCUACGUAAAUGCGUGUCCUGAAAAUAAUAACAAUGAUUAUAGUAUGCCUAUCAUAGACGAAUCUAUGAACUUUGCAUAA